rnacentral:rRNA from 1 species
GCAAGUCGAACGGUGAAGAGGAGCUUGCUCCUCGGAUCAGUGGCGGACGGGUGAGUAACACGUGAGCAACCUGCCUUUCAGUGGGGGACAACAGUUGGAAACGACUGCUAAUACCGCAUAACGUGCCGAGGGGGCAUCCCUUUGGUACCAAAGAUUUAUCGCUGAAAGAUGGGCUCGCGUCUGAUUAGAUAGUUGGUGAGGUAACGGCCCACCAAGUCGACGAUCAGUAGCCGGACUGAGAGGUUGAUC